GCAGUGGUGGUUCAGUGGUAGAAUUCUCACCUUCCAUGUGGAGUUCUGGGUUCAAUUCCUGGCCAAUGCA
rnacentral:tRNA from 1 species